GAUGAACGCUGGCGGCGUGCCUAAUACAUGCAAGUCGAGCGAACAGACGCGGAGCUUGCUCCUCUCACGUUAGCGGCGGACGGGUGAGUAACACGUGGAUCACCUACCUAUCAGACUGGGAUCACUUCGGGACACCGGCGCUAAUACCGGAUAAUAUCUUGCACCGCAUGGUUCAAUAGUGAAAGACGGUUUUGCUGUCACUUCUAGAUGCAUCUGCGCCGCAUUAGCUGGUUGUUAAGGUAAAGGGUUACCAAGGCAACGAGGCGUAACCGACCUGUGGGGGGGGUCGGCCACACGGGAGCGUAGACGGGGACCAGAGUCCUACGGUACGCAGCAGUAGGGAAUCGUACGCAAUAGUCGAAAGCAUGACGGAGCAACGCCGCGUGAGUUAUGAAGAUCUUCGGAUCGUAAUAAUCUGUUAGGGGGGAAGAACAAAUGUGUAAGGAACUAUGCACGUAUUGACGGUACCGGAUCAGAAAGCCACGGCUAACUACGUG
rnacentral:rRNA from 1 species